GGGGAGGUAGCCAAGGGGUCAAAGGCAGCGGACUGUAGAUCCGCGGGCGGACUGCCUUCGGAGGUUCGAAUCCUCCCCUCCCCACCA
rnacentral:tRNA from 1 species